rnacentral:lncRNA from 1 species
UCAUUUUUCUGGCAACCAGCAAGUGUUGGGCUGUAGCCUUUUGCUCACAAACAAACAAAGAUGUGCUGUGUGUCCUUUCUUGUGCUGUGUGUCCUUUCUCGUGCUGUGUGUCCUUUCUCGUGCUGUGUGUCCUCUUGGGCACGUUGCUCUCCCUCCAGCGGUGCAUCCUACAUGCGCUGCAGACUGUCUGAGUCCUCUAAGUGUAGAGCAGUGGUUGUGCUGUGCCAGGAAGGCUGUGGGCUCUGCUCUGCUGACACCGUUGCCCCCGCCCUUUGUUUCUCUCCCAGGCAGUGUGUGUCUAGGGGAAGACAUGCUAGGCAUUUUCUUGACAGCACUGUUGACAGUGUACACACAGUGGAAAUAGAUGAAUUCACCCUACUCUCCUAGUGCUGCUAGAUAUAUAAAUUUAUAUGUAAAUAAGACAUACAUUUAAUGUUCAGUUUAUCUGUAUAGCCUAGGCUUCUGAAAAUAGAAUGUCAUUAGUAACUUUUGUAUAUGUAUGUGUGUCUGUGUGGGUGUGAGUGCAUACAUGCGUGUGUAAAUUGGAGACAUUGGGCUCAUUGGAGUCUUCAGAUGGCAGAUCCUGGUAUACACUGUUUAUGAUCAGAUUUUGAGAUUCGUGAUUUGGUUGGUGCCUUCUGCUCACCAGUAUUGAUAUGCUAGUUCACACUUGUCCCUUUCUUAGUAGUAGGCUCUCUCUGUUUGUAAACAUUUAUUAUAAGUAACUAGUGAAGGAAACUAGUAGAAAGCG